rnacentral:rRNA from 1 species
GAUGAACGCUGGCGGCGUGCCUAAUACAUGCAAGUCGAGCGAACAGACGAGGUGCUUGCUCCUCUGACGUUAGCGGCGGACGGGUGAGUAACACGUGGAUAACCUACCUAUAAGACUGGGAUAACUUCGGGAAACCGGAGCUAAUACCGGAUAAUAUAUUGAACCGCAUGGUUCAAUAGUGAAAGACGGUUUUGCUGUCACUUAUAGAUGGAUCCGCGCCGCUUUAGCUAGUUGGUAAGGUAACGGCUUACCAAGGCAACGAUGCGUAGCCGACCUGAGAGGGUGAUCGGCCACACUGGAACUGAGACACGGUCCAGACUCCUACGGGAGGCAGCAGUAGGGAAUCUUCCGCAAUGGGCGAAAGCCUGACGGAGCAACGCCGCGUGAGUGAUGAAGGUCUUCGGAUCGUAAAACUCUGUUAUUAGGGAAGAACAAAUGUGUAAGUAACUAUGCACGUCUUGACGGUACCUAAUCAGAAAGCCACGGCUAACUACGUG